UACGAAGGCCACAAGCGUUAUCCGGAUUUAUUGGGCGUAAAGGGCGCGUAGGGGGCUUUGCCAGUCCGCGGUCAAAUGUCGGGGCUCAACUCCGAACCCGCCGCGAAAACAGGAAGGCUCGAGGGCGGUAGAAGCAGAUGGAACGCACGGUGUAGGGGUGAAAUCGGGUGAUGUCGUGCGGAACACCAAAGGCGAAGGCAUUCUGCUGGGACGUUCCUGACCCUGAGGCGCGAAAGCGUGGGGAGCAAAAAGGAAUAAAUACCCUUGGAGUCCACGCCCUAAACGAUGGAGACUAACUGUCUCGAGUAUCGACCCUCGGGGUGACGGAUCUAACGCGUUAAAUCAGCCGGCUGGCAGGUACGGCCGCAAGUCUAAACCUCAAAGGAAUAGACGGGGACUCGCACAAGCGCUGGAGCAUGUGGUUUAAUUCGAUGGUAAUCGAGACACCUCACCAGGGUUUGACCUGUGUUUGAAAACCGACCGAACGGUUGGCCCUCUUUUCUCGAAGACAAACGCACAGGUGCUGCAUGGUUGCCGUCAGCUCGUGCCGUGAGGCGUUCCCUUAAGUGGGGUAACGAGCGCAACCCCCGUCCUCUGUUACAAGUGUCAGAGGAAACUGCCGUCCUAUAGACGGAGGAAGGCGGGGAGGACGUCAAAUCAGCAUGCACCUUUGACACCCUGGGCUACACACAUGCUACAAUGGCCGGCACAGAGGGUUGCCAAGUCGAGAGGCGGAGCUAAUCCCUUAAAACCGCCCCCAGUUCAGAUUGAGGGCUGCAACUCGCCCUCAUGAACCCGGAAUCGCUAGUAAUCGCGGAUCAUCAUCCCGCGGUGAAUACGUUCUCGAGUCC
rnacentral:rRNA from 1 species